rnacentral:SRP_RNA from 1 species
GCCGGGCGUGGUGGUGUGCGCCUGUAGUCCCAGCUACUUGGGAGGCUGAGGCAGGAGAAUCACUUGAACCAGGGAGGCGGAGGUUGCAGUGAGCUGAGAUUGUGCCACUGCAUUCCAGCCUGGGCAACAGAGUGAGAUCCUGUCUUAA